GACGAACGCUGGCGGCGUGCUUAACACAUGCAAGUCGAACGGUGACGAGGAGCUUGCUCCUCUGAUCAGUGGCGAACGGGUGAGUAACACGUGAGCAACCUGCCCCAGACUCUGGGAUAACAGUUGGAAACAGCUGCUAAUACCGGAUACGAGACGGAGAGGCAUCUCUACCGUCUGGAAAGUUUUUCGGUCUGGGAUGGACUCGCGGCCUAUCAGCUAGUUGGUGAGGUAAUGGCUCACCAAGGCGACGACGGGUAGCCGGCCUGAGAGGGCGACCGGCCACACUGGGACUGAGACACGGCCCAGACUCCUACGGGAGGCAGCAGUGGGGAAUAUUGCACAAUGGGCGAAAGCCUGAUGCAGCGACGCCGCGUGAGGGAUGACGGCCUUCGGGUUGUAAACCUCUUUCAGCAGGGAAGAAGCGCAAGUGACGGUACCUGCAGAAGAAGCACCGGCUAACUACGUG
rnacentral:rRNA from 1 species